rnacentral:lncRNA from 11 species
GGAAGAGAGCUGAUUGUUGGACCUUUGACUUCACAAGGCUUUGGAAUGGAUACUAUGCAACAUUACUUUGACAUACUUUCCAUUAGUAGAGAGCCAUUCUUCAAGGGCAACAUAUCAAGGAUGCUGUGUUGAAUAUUAAAGCAAAUGAGGAAGAGCA